rnacentral:rRNA from 1 species
GACGAACGCUGGCGGCGUGCUUAACACAUGCAAGUCGAACGGAAAGGCCCCUUUGGGGGUACUCGAGUGGCGAACGGGUGAGUAACACGUGAGUAACCUGCCCUUGACUUCGGGAUAACUUCAGGAAACUGGGGCUAAUACCGGAUAGGAAUCCUUGCUGCAUGGUGGGGGUUGGAAAGCUUCGGCGGUUUUGGAUGGACUCGCGGCUUAUCAGCUUGUUGGUGGGGUAGUGGCUUACCAAGGCUUUGACGGGUAGCCGGCCUGAGAGGGCGACCGGCCACAUUGGGACUGAGAUACGGCCCAGACUCCUACGGGAGGCAGCGGUGGGGAAUAUUGCACAAUAGGCGGAAGCCUGAUGCAGCAACGCCGCGUGCGGGAUGACGGCCUUCGGGUUGUAAACCGCUUUCAGCAGGGGCGAAGCUUGUGGUGACGGUACCUGCAGAAGAAGCACCGGCUAACUACGUG